rnacentral:rRNA from 1 species
AUUGAACGCUGGCGGCAUGCUUUACACAUGCAAGUCGAACGGCAGCGCGGGGCAACCUGGCGGCGAGUGGCGAACGGGUGAGUAAUAUAUCGGAACGUACCUAAGAGUGGGGGAUAACGUAGCGAAAGUUACGCUAAUACCGCAUACGAUCUAUGGAUGAAAGCGGGGGAUCUUCGGACCUCGUGCUCCUGGAGCGGCCGAUAUCUGAUUAGCUAGUUGGUGAGGUAAAGGCUCACCAAGGCGACGAUCAGUAGCUGGUCUGAGAGGACGACCCGCCACACUGGGACUGAGACACGGCCCAGACUCCUACGGGAGACAGCAGUGGGGAAUUUUGGACAAUGGGCGCAAGCCUGAUCCAGCAAUGCCGCGUGAGUGAAGAAGGCCUUCGGGUUGUAAAGCUCUUUUGUCAGGGAAGAAACGGUUGGGGCUAAUAUCCCCGGCUAAUGACGGUACCUGAAGAAUAAGCACCGGCUAACUACGAGCCAGCCGCCGCCGUAA